UGCCAGCAGCCGCGGUAAUACGAAGGGGGCAAGCGUUAUUCGGAAUCACUGGGCGUAAAGCGUACGUAGGCGGUCUUACAAGUUAGGCGUGAAAUCCCUGGGCUCAACCCAGGAACUGCGCUUAAAACUGUAAAACUAGAAUCCGAGAGAGGUUAAUGGAAUUCCCAGUGUAGAGGUGAUAUUCGUAGAUAUUGGGAGGAACACCAGUGGCGUAGGCGAUUAACUGGCUCGGUAUUGACGCUGAGGUACGAAAGCGUGGGGAGCGAACGGGAUUAGAUA
rnacentral:rRNA from 1 species